rnacentral:RNase_P_RNA from 1 species
UGACAAAUGCUGCAUAUUUUGUUAUGUAGAGGAAAGUCCAUGCUCGCACAGUCCUGUGAUGGCUGUAGUGUUCGUGCCUAGGGAAUAAAUAACCUAGGGUAGUUUAUAACUAACGGCUCUAAAAUAACCUUAACUGGUUAAAGUAAGUAUAAAAGUGCCAUAGAGACGAUGCUUUUUGGAAACGAAAAGAGUGGAACGAGGUAAACCCCACGAGCGAGAAACCCAAAUUUUGGUAGGGGAGUUUUUAUUAGGGAAAUCUAGAACCUUUUUAAAAGACUGUAUAACGGUAGAUAAAUAUUUGUCGCUUUUCAUUUUGAAAAGAACAGAACAUGGCUUAUU